AACGAACGCUGGCGGCGUGCCUAACACAUGCAAGUCGAACGGGAUUAGGGGCUUGCUCCUAAUCUAGUGGCGCACGGGUGAGUAACGCGUAGAUAAUCUGCCUGAUGAUCUGGGAUAACAGUUCGAAAGGACUGCUAAUACCGGAUAAGCCCACGGGUUCUUUGGAAUCUGCGGGAAAAGGGGGGGACCUUUUGGCCUUCUGUCAUCAGCUGAGUCUGCGUACCAUUAGCUAGUUGGUAGGGUAAAGGCCUACCAAGGCGACGAUGGUUAGCUGGUCUGGGAGGAUGAUCAGCCACACUGGAACUGAGACACGGUCCAGACUCCUACGGGAGGCAGCAGUGGGGAAUUUUGCGCAAUGGGCGAAAGCCUGACGCAGCAACGCCGCGUGAGUGAUGAAGGCUUUCGGGUCGUAAAGCUCUGUCAGGGGGAAAGAAAUGUAUUGUGGCUAAUAUCCACGAUACUUGACGGUACCCCCAAAGGAAGCACCGGCUAACUCCGUGCCAGCAGCCGCCGUAAAAC
rnacentral:rRNA from 1 species